CGCUCCGGUGGCUUAGUGGUUAGAGCGACAGCCUCCGAUGCUGGAGAUCGCGGGUUCGAUCCCCGGUCGAGUUA